GGGGGUUGGGCGGCGGCUACCAUGCAGUCGAGCGGUAACAGAUCCAGCUUGCUGGAUGCUGACGAGCGGCGGACGGGUGAGUAAUGCAUAGGAAUCUGCCCGAUAGUGGGGGAUAACCUGGGGAAACCCAGGCUAAUACCGCAUACGUCCUACGGGAGAAAGGGGGCUUCGGCUCCCGCUAUCGGAUGAGCCUAUGUCGGAUUAGCUAGUUGGUGAGGUAACGGCUCACCAAGGCCACGAUCCGUAGCUGGUCUGAGAGGAUGAUCAGCCACAUCGGGACUGAGACACGGCCCGAACUCCUACGGGAGGCAGCAGUGGGGAAUAUUGGACAAUGGGGGGAACCCUGAUCCAGCCAUGCCGCGUGUGUGAAGAAGGCCCUCGGGUUGUAAAGCACUUUCAGCGAGGAAGAACGCCUAGCGGUUAAUACCCGCUAGGAAAGACAUCACUCGCAGAAGAAGCACCGGCUAACUCCGUGCCAGCAGCCGCGGUAAUACGGAGGGUGCAAGCGUUAAUCGGAAUUACUGGGCGUAAAGCGCGCGUAGGUGGCUUGAUAAGCCGGUUGUGAAAGCCCCGGGCUCAACCUGGGAACGGCAUCCGGAACUGUCAAGCUAGAGUGCAGGAGAGGAAGGUAGAAUUCCCGGUGUAGCGGUGAAAUGCGUAGAGAUCGGGAGGAAUACCAGUGGCGAAGGCGGCCUUCUGGACUGACACUGACACUGAGGUGCGAAAGCGUGGGUAGCAAACAGGAUUAGAUACCUUGGGUAGUCA
rnacentral:rRNA from 1 species